rnacentral:rRNA from 1 species
AACCAGCACCUCAAGUGGUCAGGAGAAUUAUUGGGCUUAAAGCAUCCGUAGCCGGCUCUGUAAGUUUUUGGUUAAAUCUAUGCGCUCAACGCAUAGGCCGCCGAAAAUACUGUAGAGCUAGGGAGUGGGAGAGGUAGACGGUGCUCGGUAGGAAGGGGUAAAAUCUUUUGAUCUAUCGAUGACCACCUGUGGCGAAGGCGGUCUACCAGAACACGUUCGACGGUGAGGGAUGAAAGCUGGGGGAGCAAACCGG